rnacentral:misc_RNA from 1 species
AUGUUUUUUUUUUUUUUUUGAUUUGGUGAGAGG